GACGUAGGAUGCAAGCGUUGUCCGGAUUUAUUGGGCGUAAAGAGUUCGUAGGCGGUUUGUUAAGUCUGGUGUUAAAGAUCGGGGCUCAACCCCGGGACUGCAUUGGAUACUGGCAGACUGGAGUGCUGUAGAGGUACGUGGAAUUUCUGGUGUAGCGGUGAAAUGCGUAGAUAUCAGAAAGAACACCAGUGGCGUAGGCGACUUACUGGGCCGUAACUGACGCUGAGGAACGAAAGCCAGGGGAGCGAAUGGG
rnacentral:rRNA from 1 species